AGGGUUCGAUUAUGGCUCAGGAUGAACGCUAGCUACAGGCCUAACACAUGCAAGUCGAGGGGCAGCAUGAUUGAAGCUUGCUUCAAUUGAUGGCGACCGGCGCACGGGUGAGUAACACGUAUCCAACCUUCCGCUGACUCGGGGAUAGCCUUUCGAAAGAAAGAUUAAUACCCGAUAGCAAAGGAUUUCCGCAUGGAUAUUCUUUUAAAGGAUUCCGGUCAGCGAUGGGGAUGCGUUCCAUUAGAUAGUUGGCGGGGUAACGGCCCACCAAGUCGACGAUGGAUAGGGGUUCUGAGAGGAAGGUCCCCCACAUUGGAACUGAGACACGGUCCAA
rnacentral:rRNA from 1 species